CAGCAAUGCGUGGCAUACGGCUCAGUAACACGUAGUCAACAUGCCCAGGGGACGUGGAUAACCUCGGGAAACUGAGGAUAAACCGCGAUAGGCCAAGGUUUCUGGAAUGGACACUGGCUGAAACCUAUAUGGCCCCUGGAUUGGACUGCGGCCGAUCAGGCUGUUGGUGAGGUAAUGGCCCACCAAACCUGUAACCGGUGCGGGCUUUGAGAGAAGGAGCCCGGAGAUGGGCACUGAGACAAGGGCCCAGGCCCUAUGGGGCGCAGCAGGCGCGAAAAUUCUGCAAUAGGCGAAAGCUUGACAGAGUUACUCUGAGUGAUGCCCGCUAAGGGCAUCUUUUGGCACCUCUAAAAAUGGUGCAGAAUAAGGGGUGGGCAAGUCUGGUGUCAGCCGCCGCGGUAAUACCAGCACCCCGAGUGGUCGGGACGAUUAUUGGGCCUAAAGCAUCCGUAGCUUGUUCUGCAAGUCUUCCGUUAAAUCCACCUGCUCAACAGAUGGGCUGCGGGAGAUACUACAGGGCUAGGAGGCGGGAGAGGCAAGCGGUACUCAGUGGGUAGGGGUAAAAUCCUCUGAUCCACUGAAGACCACCAGUGGCGAAGGCGGCUUGCCAGAACGCGCUCGACGGUGAGGGAUGAAAGCUGGGGGAGCAAACCGGAUUAGAUACCCGGGUAGUCCCAGCUGUAA
rnacentral:rRNA from 1 species